ACUGUAAUUGUUAAAACGUGGAGUUGAGGCUGUUAGCUAGGCAAUGAACUCAUGAGUGUAGGCAGUGUAAUACAUGACAGGCAAGUCUUUGCUAAUACCACAAGGGUCUCAGUCCAAUGAGUGGAGUUUAAUAGUAAUUCUUGCUACAAGU
ensembl:snoRNA SNORA62 Small nucleolar RNA SNORA62/SNORA6 family